rnacentral:lncRNA from 1 species
UUUAAUUCUUCAAUCACUAUUUUUUAUGAGAUUUUUAUUUUUGGCCGUUCAUUUUAAGACUACUCGUUCACUAGAAAAAUGCAGCUGAAAAAUUAUGAAAUUUGAUUUCUAAAUAGUUUAAUACUGUAAAUUAUGCUUAAUCAAGCUAAUCGUCAAAUCAGAUGUUUUAUCAUCGAAAACAACUUGAAAGGGUAGAGACAUUCCUGCUUUCUAAAGCAUACUAGCCUCUCUCUCUCUCUCUCUCUCUCUCUCUCUCUCUCUCUCUCUCUCUCUC